rnacentral:rRNA from 1 species
GAUGAACGCUGGCGGCGUGCUUAACACAUGCAAGUCGAACGAAGCCCUUUUUUUGAUUUCCUUCGGGACUGAUUAUUUUGUGACUGAGUGGCGGACGGGUGAGUAACUCGUUUUUCACCUGCCUUGUCCAGGGGGAUCAUAGUUGGAAACGGCUGCUAAUCCCGCAUAAACGCCCAGCAUCCCUUGAUGCUGUGUGAAAAACUCCGGUGGUAUACGAUGUACCUGCGUUGCAUUAGCUAGUUGGUGAGGUAAGAGCCCACCAAGGCGACGAGCCAUAGACGAGCUGAGAGAGUGAGUGGAGACAUUGGGAGUAAGCCACGGUCGAAACUACUACGGGAGGGAGGAGUGGGGAAUAUUGCACAAUCGGCGAAAGGAUGAUGCAGCGAAGCCGGGUGAGCGAAGAAGUAGUUCGGUAUGUAAAGCUCUAUCAGAAGGGAAGAUAAUGACGGUACCUGAAGAAGAAGCACCGGCUAAAUACGUG